rnacentral:siRNA from 1 species
UGCGGGAAAAGUGCGGUGCGGU